rnacentral:rRNA from 1 species
CUGGGCUAGAAUGCCUCUGACAACCCUAGAGAUAGGGCCUUCUUGGUAAAACCAGACAGAGCGCAAGGUGCUGCAUGGCUGUCGUCAGCUCGUGUCGUGAGAUGUUGCGUUAAGUCGCGCAACGAGCGCAACCCCUGUCCUUAGUUGCCCCCGGGUCAAGCCGUGGCACUCUAAGGAGACUGCCGGCGUUAAGCCGGAGGAAGGUGGGGAUGACGUCAAGUCCUCAUGGCCUUUAUGUCCAGGGCUACACACGUGCUACAAUGGCAGGUACAAACCGCAGCAAACUCGCAAGAGGGAGCCAAUCGGAAAAAGCCUGUCUCAGUUCGGAUCGCACUCUGCAACUCGAGUGCAUGAAGUUGGAAUCGCUAGUAAUCGCGGAUCAGCAUGCCGCGGUGAAUACGUUCCC